rnacentral:rRNA from 1 species
UACGGAGGGUGCAAGCGUUGCUCGGAAUUAUUGGGCGUAAAGGGUAGGUAGGUGGUCUCAUUUGUCUGGGGUGAAAUCCUUGAGCUUAACUCAAGAAGUGCCCCGGAAACGGUGAGACUAGAGUCCUGGAGAGGGUCGUGGAAUUCCCGGUGUAGCGGUGAAAUGCGUAGAGAUCGGGAGGAACACCAGAGGCGAAAGCGGCGACCUGGACAGGUACUGACACUCAACUACGAAAGCGUGGGGAGCAAACAGG